rnacentral:rRNA from 1 species
AGAACGAACGCUGGCGGCGUGCUUAACACAUGCAAGUCGAGCGGUAACGCGGGAGCAAUCCUGGCGACGAGCGGCGAACGGGUGAGUAAUGCUUGGGAAUCUGCCCAUUAGUGGGGAACAACCAGCCGAAAGGUUGGCUAAUACCGCAUACGCCCUACGGGGGAAAGCGGGGGAUCGAAAGACCUCGCGCUAAUGGAUGAGCCCAAGUCGGAUUAGCUUGUUGGUAGGGUAACGGCCUACCAAGGCGACAAUCCGUAGCUGGUCUGAGAGGACGACCAGCCACACUGGGACUGAGACACGGCCCAGACUCCUACGGGAGGCAGCAGUGGGGAAUAUUGGACAAUGGGGGCAACCCUGAUCCAGCGACGCCGCGUGUGUGAAGAAGGCCUGCGGGUUGUAAAGCACUUUUAGUGGGAUGAAAAGCUCAGGGUUAACACCUCUGGGUCUUGACCUAACCACAGAAAAGCACCGGCUAACUCUGUGCCAGCAGCCGCGGU